rnacentral:tRNA from 1 species
GUCAGGAUGGCCGAGUGGUCUAAGGCGCCAGACUCAAGUUCUGUCGAGGGCGUGGGUUCAAAUCCCACUUCUGACA